rnacentral:rRNA from 1 species
GCGGUUAAACGGGAGGCCCAAGUUGAUAGCCACCGGCGUAAAGCGUGGUUUGGUAAAAAAUUUAUACUAAAGCCGAACGCACACAAGGCUGUUAUACGCUUUUGAAACCUGAAGCCCGAUUACGAAAGUAACUUUAAACAAACCGAACCCACGAAAGCUAAGAUA